rnacentral:rRNA from 1 species
UACGUAGGGUGCAAGCGUUAAUCGGAAUUACUGGGCGUAAAGCGUGCGCAGGCGGUUAUGUAAGACAGGGGUGAAAUCCCCGGGCUUAACCUGGGAACUGCAUUUGUGACUGCAUAGCUAGAGUACGGUAGAGGGGGAUGGAAUUCCGCGUGUAGCAGUGAAAUGCGUAGGUAUGCGGAGGAACACCGAUGGCGAAGGCAAUCCCCUGGACCUGUACUGACGCUCAUGCACGAAAGCGUGGGGAGCAAACAGG